AGACCUGCCCGGUGAAUAUUUAUUUAAACGGCCGCGGUAUUUUGACCGUGCAAAGGUAGCAUAAUCAGUUGUCUUAUAAUUGAAGACUGGAAUGAAUGGUUAAACGAAAUUAGAGCUGUUUCAUUUGUAUUUAUUGGAAAUUGGCUUUUAAAUGAAGAGAUUUAAAUUUGAUUAAGGGACAAGAAGACCCUAUUGAGCUUUAAAUAAUUUUAAGGGUUAAAGUUAUUAUAAAGAUCUAUGAUCUUUAGUAUUUUUUUAGUUGGGGCGACUAAGGAACAGGCGAAGCUUCCUUUAUUUAUUUAAUUGAUAGAUUUUGAUCCUGUAUUACUGAUUAAGAGAAAUAGUUACCAUAGGGAUAACAGCAUAAUCUUCUUGGAGAGUUCUUAUUAAAAAGGGGGGUUGUGACCUCGAUGUUGGACUAAAAUAUCCUAAGGGUGUAGAAGCUUUUAAGGGUUGGUCUGUUCGACCAUUAAAAUUUUACGUGAUCUGA
rnacentral:rRNA from 1 species